rnacentral:rRNA from 1 species
UCUGGCGACCGGCGCACGGGUGAGUAACACGUAUCCAACCUGCCGAUAACUCGGGGAUAGCCUUUCGAAAGAAAGAUUAAUACCCGAUGGCAUAAUUAGACCGCAUGGUCUUAUUAUUAAAGAAUUUCGGUUAUCGAUGGGGAUGCGCUCCAUUAGGCAGUUGGUGAGGUAACGGCUCACCAAACCUUCGAUGGAUAGGGGUUCUGAGAGGAAGGUCCCCCACAUUGGAACUGAGACACGGUCCAA